GGGCUGAAGGUGUUAAGGGGCCGCACGCCUGCCUUGCAAGCAGGAAGAUGGAGUUCGAGUCUCCAUCAGUCCA
rnacentral:tRNA from 1 species